UGGUUUUAUAUUUAGGUUGGUGGUAAAGCGACACCAAGCGUAGGACAGUCUCGCAAUGUACCGCAGUCAAACAAUAUUCAUUCCCCUAAGAGUAUUGCACUAGAAAAAAGACAUAACUUUACAGAAGGGAAGAAUGCUUGCUACUUGCUUGAUUGAGCAGAUGUAAUUGUUGCUGAAGGUCGUUGGGAUUCUAGUGAUCCAAAGUUAACUGUACAUGGAAAGCCUCUUGGACCAGACUUUAUCCGAGUAUGGGUUGAUGCUGAUAUUGUACCAGAAUCUUACUUAUUUCAUCCUAAUAAUGCGAUGCUUACAAUACAAGAAGCAGUUGGUUCCACAGUUGCAUGGCCUUCUAAAAAAGUUAUUCCAAGAGAUGUGACAAGCGAAAUAGAAAAUGAUACUUAAUUUUGAAGGCUUUGUGUUAGGCAGCUAUAGAAUAUUUUGUGCUGAAAGUAGUAACUUUUCAAUAUGUUGAAUAUUUAAGACUACUUGAAUACUUAAAGAACAUUUUGUUGUUGAUGACAAUGUUGAAUGUUUUAAACUAAUUUGUGGAUUGUUAAUACAA